UACGGGGGGGGCAAGCGUUGUUCGGAAUUACUGGGCGUAAAGGGUUCGUAGGUGGCCAACUAAGUCAGACGUGAAAUCCCUCAGCUUAACUGGGGAACUGCGUCUGAUACUGGAUGGCUUGAGUGCAGGAGAGGAACGCGGAAUUCCAGGUGUAGCGGUGAAAUGCGUAGAUAUCAGGAGGAACACCGGUGGCGAAGGCGGGAUCCUGGGCCAGUACUGACGCUGAGGAGCGAAAGCGUGGGGAGCAAACAGG
rnacentral:rRNA from 1 species